GAUGAACGCUGGCGGCGUGCCUAAUACAUGCAAGUCGAGCGAACGGACGAGAAGCUUGCUUUUCUGACGUUAGCGGCGGACGGGUGAGUAACACGUGGAUAACCUACCUAUAAGACUGGGAUAACUUCGGGAAACCGGAGCUAAUACCGGAUAAUAUUUUGAACCGCAUGGUUCAAUAGUGAAAGACGGUUUUGCUGUCACUUAUAGAUGGAUCCGCGCUGCAUUAGCUAGUUGGUAAGGUAACGGCUUACCAAGGCAACGAUGCAUAGCCGACCUGAGAGGGUGAUCGGCCACACUGGAACUGAGACACGGUCCAGACUCCUACGGGAGGCAGCAGUAGGGAAUCUUCCGCAAAGGGCGAAAGCCUGACGGAGCAACGCCGCGUGAGUGAUGAAGGUCUUCGGAUCGUAAAACUCUGUUAUUAGGGAAGAACAAAUGUGUAAGUAACUGUGCACAUCUUGACGGUACCUAAUCAGAAAGCCACGGCUAACUACGUG
rnacentral:rRNA from 1 species